rnacentral:tRNA from 1 species
CGUGCCUCAGCGGUAGAGUGCUUACCUGCUAUGUGGGAGGCUCUGGGUUCAAUUCCCAGUG